UACGACUACAUAUCAGGCAUAUCAAUAAGCGGAGGAAAAGAAACUAACAAGGAUUCCCUUAGUAACGGCGAGUGAAGCGGGAAGAGCUCAAAUUUGAAAUCUUCAAGGUUCUACCUUGACGAAUUGUAGUUUAAAGAAGUGUUUUCUGUUAGAUGAGUAGCAAAAGUUCCUUGGAAUAGGGACAUCAUAGAGGGUGAGAAUCCCGUAUUUGACCGUUAUCAUUCUCAGCUGUGUGAUACACUUUCAACGAGUCGGAUUGUUUGGGAAUGCAGUCCAAAAUGGGUGGUAAAUUUCAUCUAAAGCUAAAUAUUGGCGAGAGACCGAUAGCGAACAAGUACCGUGAGGGAAAGAUGAAAAGAACUUUGAAAAGAGAGUUAAACAGUACGUGAAAUUGUCAAAAGGGAAGCGCUUGACACCAGUGUUGUUUUUCCGAAAAUCAAUUACGAAUGGCUUGAUUUUGUGUUGUAUUGACCUUAUCAGCUUUCUGCACUUUUUUCGAGUCUUUCUUAAUGCACUUUUCGGUUAACAAGUCAACAUCAAUUUCUUUUGUUGUAAAAGAGUAUUCGGAAGGUGGCUUUCUUUUCGGAGAAAGUGUUUAUAGCCCUAUACUUCUACAAUCGGAGAGAUUGAGGUCUGCAGCGUAGAUCCUUCGGGGUUAGAUACACUUGUGCUAAGUUGUAGCUUUUCAUAGACAACUUGUUGACUAUGUUUAGUCAUGCGGCUUACUCGCUUGUGCUAUUUUACCUACGCUUAGGAUGUUGAGUAGCGACAUACGCAC
rnacentral:rRNA from 1 species